GGGAGGUAGUGACAAUAAAUAACAAUACGGGUUCUUUCGGAUCUCGUAAUUGGAAUGAGUACAAUUUAAAUCUCUUAACGAGAACCAAUUGGAGGGCAAGUCUGGUGCCAGCAGCCGCGGUAAUUCCAGCUCCAAUAGCGUAUAUUAAAGUUGUUGCAGUUAAAAAGCUCGUAGUUGAAUUUCGGGAUUAGUAGGUUGGUCGUGCCUCUGGUAUGCACUGGCUUUACUGGUUCCUCCUUCUUGAAGAACUGUAAUGUCAUUAAUUUGGUGUUGCAGGGAAACAGGACUGUUACUUUGAAAAAAUAGAGUGUUUAAAGCAGGCAAUCGCUCGAAUACAUUAGCAUGGAAUAAUGAAAUAGGACGUUCGAACCUAUUUUGUUGGUUUCUAGGAUCGACGUAAUGAUUAAUAGGGAUAGUUGGG
rnacentral:rRNA from 1 species